rnacentral:rRNA from 1 species
AUAACCUGCCCUUUGGAGGGUGAUAACGUUCCGAAAGGAGCGCUAAUACCGCAUACAGCAAGAGUCGGUUCGCCGAUUUUUGGCAAAGGUAGGACCCGCAAGGGCCUAUCGCCAGAGGAGGGGUCUGCGGCCCAUCAGCUAGUUGGUGAGGUAAUGGCUCACCAAGGCAGAGACGGGUAGCUGGUCUGAGAGGACGAUCAGCCGGAUUGGGACUGAGAUACGGCCCAG